UAAUAAGUGUUUUAUGGCACUUUUUAAAUCCAUAUCCACCUUGUGUGCAAUGUCAGUCGAUCUUCUUCAUGGAGAUCGACCAAACAUCAACCUUUAUCUUUUACCUCUUUGUCUGAAAAAUAUUAUGAAUAAACAAUUCAAAAUA
rnacentral:misc_RNA from 1 species